CCUAGGGCUUUCCUAUCUACCUGCC
rnacentral:piRNA from 1 species